rnacentral:lncRNA from 1 species
GCGAGCCGUGAGAUGCGUGGUCCACCAUCGGUGACCUCACCGCCUCGGUUCGCCCUCAGCCGCCCCGAUUGGCCAUCUGCAAGCUUCCCUUCUCCGUGGAGAGCAGGAAGACAGUCAUGGGACCUCAGGGAGCCAGGAGACAGGCUUUCUUGGCAUUUGGGGAUGUCACUGUGGAUUUCACCCAGAAGGAAUGGAGGCUGCUGAGCCCUGCUCAGAGGGCCCUGUACAGGGAGGUGACACUGGAGAACUACAGCCACCUGGUCUCACUAGGAAUAUAUGCAGAACAUGUCCUGCGGCCCAAGAAUCUUGGACUUGCACAUCAGAGGCAACAGCAACUACAAUUUUCUGAUCAAAGCUUCCAGAGUGACACAGCUGAAGGUCAAGAGAAAGAAAAAAGCACUAAGCCCAUGGCAUUUUCCAGCCCACCCCUAAGACAUGCAGUAAGCUCAAGGAGGAGGAACAGUGUAGUGGAAAUAGAGUCUAGUCAAGGCCAGAGGGAAAAUCCUACAGAAAUAGACAAAGUAUUGAAAGGAAUAGAAAAUUCAAGAUGGGGAGCAUUCAAGUGUGCAGAGCGUGGGCAAGACUUCAGCCGGAAGAUGAUGGUAAUCAUACACAAAAAAGCACAUUCCAGGCAGAAACUUUUUACAUGCAGGGAGUGUCACCAGGGCUUUAGAGAUGAGUCAGCAUUGCUCUUGCACCAGAACACACACACAGGAGAGAAGUCCUAUGUGUGCAGUGUGUGUGGGCGAGGCUUCAGCCUCAAGGCCAACCUCCUCAGACACCAGAGGACACACUCAGGAGAGAAGCCUUUUCUGUGCAAGGUGUGUGGACGAGGCUAUACCAGUAAGUCAUACCUCACUGUGCAUGAGAGAACACACACAGGAGAGAAGCCUUAUGAAUGCCAGGAGUGUGGGCGAAGGUUUAACGAUAAGUCCUCAUACAACAAGCACUUGAAGGCGCAUUCAGGGGAGAAGCCUUUUGUGUGCAAGGAGUGUGGGCGAGGCUAUACUAAUAAGUCAUACUUCGUUGUGCACAAGAGAAUACACUCAGGAGAGAAGCCUUACAGAUGCCAGGAGUGUGGCCGAGGCUUUAGCAAUAAGUCACACCUUAUCACACACCAGAGGACACACUCAGGGGAGAAGCCCUUUGCGUGCAGGCAGUGUAAGCAAAGUUUUAGCGUGAAAGGAAGUCUCCUCAGACACCAGAGAACACACUCAGGGGAGAAGCCUUUUGUGUGCAAGGAUUGUGAGCGAAGCUUUAGCCAAAAGUCAACUCUUGUCUACCACCAGAGAACACACUCAGGGGAGAAACCUUUUGUUUGUAGAGAAUGUGGGCAAGGAUUUAUUCAGAAGUCAACCCUUGUGAAACAUCAGAUCACACACUCAGAGGAGAAGCCUUUUGUGUGCAAGGACUGUGGACGAGGCUUUAUCCAAAAGUCAACCUUCACUUUACACCAGAGGACACACUCAGAGGAGAAGCCUUAUGGAUGUCGGGAGUGUGGGCGAAGGUUUCGGGAUAAGUCCUCCUAUAACAAGCACCUGAGGGCACACUUGGGUGAGAAACGUUUUUUCUGCAGGGAUUGUGGGCGAGGCUUUACCUUGAAGCCAAAUCUCACCAUACAUCAGAGGACACACUCAGGAGAGAAGCCCUUCAUGUGCAAGCAGUGUGAGAAAAGUUU